rnacentral:rRNA from 1 species
UACGGAGGGUGCAAGCGUUAUCCGGAUUCACUGGGUUUAAAGGGUGCGUAGGAGGGCAGGUAAGUCAGUGGUGAAAUCUUUGGGCUUAACCCGAAAACUGCCAUUGAUACUAUCUGUCUUGAAUCCCGUGGAGGUGAGCGGAAUAUGUCAUGUAGCGGUGAAAUGCUUAGAUAAUGACAUAGAACACCAAUUGCGAAGGCAGCUCGCUACACGAAGAUUGACUCUGAGGCACGAAAGCGUGGGGAGUCAAACAGGA